CAUCACGAAUGGAAAUUUUAUCACCUCUCCCCACCCUCCAACAGAGUCUUUUUUCAAGCAGUCCUUUCGCAGUCCAUACGCUUUUCCAGGAUUUCUUCUUCUUCUUCAUCAAGGGAUAGACCAGCAAAUUCUGAUUCCAUGGUCGUAAGACGUGAAAAAUAACACUAUUCAAGGCUAAGGAGAUGUCGGCCGUCAAAACCAGAAAACAUAAAAAAAACCUAGGCUUGCCAGAGAGGCAGACAGAAACGUGCUAGGGUAGCAGACUAAAAAAUAUAUAUUCCAGACUAAAAAAAAAUAUUUUCAUUUGUUUAAAUUUAAUUAAUAUUUUGUUAUACA